AGACCUCUAAAAGUGGGAAUACGAAGAGAAGUUUUUGUUUUUCUGAAAGAAUGAAAAUGGAAACCCAUCUCUGUUACUGUUGUUAAUUUGAUUACGUCAAUCGUUAAAAUGGGCUUCUUUAAGAGCAGGAAGGGCUAUUCAUUGUGUGAUUGUUUUGUGUAGUUUAUGUAAAGAUUUGUCGAUGAAUACUGCCCUACUAUCAAUGUACUCACAGUUGACGGGUUUAGCUGAUGCAAGGUUACU
rnacentral:misc_RNA from 1 species